UGCAUGGAAGGUGUUUGAGGAUGCAUGUCCUCACAGAUUGGCUCCAUUGUCUGAAGGGAGGAUUGAUCAGUGGGGAAGGUUGCAGUGUGUUUAUCAUGGCUGGUGUUUUAAUGGCUCUGGUGACUGCAAGUUCAUUCCUCAAGCACCUAAGGAUGGCCCUCCGGUAAUUCAAUCACAACCUACAGAGAUUACUGCUCAUGCUAAUUAACCUCUAUACAGUACAAGUUUCAAACUGCCUGCUUAUUUCAUACAGUUACUAUUAUUUACAUGAACUAAAAGAUUAUAUAUUGAACUUUAAAACAAGAGUAGCUAGCAGAUGUCAUAUUAUACCACAGUUUGUAUCAUGUUGAUGAACUUGAGAAUAAAAGUAAUAGUAUAUUUUAUUAUCUCCUACUGUGGAAGAUAUUUUAUUGGUAUGUUAGUAAUCUUUGCAAUGCUUGAAUAAAUGAUCCUUCAUCCAAAAACGCAGAUUCACACUUCCAAGAGAGCAUGUGUAGGUACUUAUCCAAGUACCGUGCAGAAUGGAAUGGUGUGGUUCUGGCCAAGUUCUGAUCCUCAAUACAAAGAUAUUCUUGCAGAGAAAAAGCCUCCCUACAUACCGGAAAUAGAUGAUCCAUCAUAUGCUAGCUUGAUGGGUAAUAGGGAGAUACCUUAUGGGUAUGUGAUGAAGUUGUUAUAUUUUUUGCUACUUUAAGAUUUAAAACAUGUUCUGCAGAGGAAAAUUACACGCACAUAUAGAAAACCUUAUGGAUCUAUCAGGGCUUAUUUUUUUUUAUGUCAAAGAACUUGUAGCUAGCUGCAUCAUCAUGAAUUAUUAAUUGUCAUUUAAUGGCAGAAGCGGCUCCUAGCGACAAUUCCACAAAGAAAAGAGAAGUGUAUUAUUUCUGGAUCAGUGUUACAAACUGUCUAACUAAAAGUUUGGAAUAUGAAAUUUCUUUUUCCUUUUCCAGAAUAUCACAUAUAACUUUGCUUACUUUUUCUAUUGCAAUUCCAGGUACGAGGUCUUGAUUGAAAAUCUUAUGGACCCUGCUCAUGUUCCAUAUGCACAUUAUGGAAUAAUGCAAACUCGACAACCCAAAGGUUAAUCACUUACGGAUCAUCAUCUUUAUUGGAUGUCAGUAUGUUAGUCUCUCCUUAUGUAGUACGUUUACAUGACUUACUGUAUCUUUCCUUAACAGAAAAAGCUGAUAGAGAAGGGGGCAGACCAUUGGACUUGCAUAUUCGUAAGUUAGACAUAAAUGGUUUCAUCGCAGAGCAGAAUCCAGGUCACAGUAGAUUUCUGCCGCCAUGUGUGUUUUGCGUUUCUAUCUUUAGUCCCAUUGACCAUGUUAACGGGGCUGCAGCAUCCUCACCUGGAACUGAAAAGCUGAGCAAUGAAAAGGUAGUACUUUAUGAUGAAUGACUUGUUUACAUACAGCUGAUGCGGCCGCUAGACUUUCUGUUAUCAUUUGUUCAUAUCCUUUAUCUUUCUAUUCUUGAUCAUAUACUUACGUGUAUGUCUUUUUCUUUCAUUUGUAGGUAUCAUCCCUCCAAAAGGGCCAAAAGGAAGCUCUGUUAAUUUUUAUCUGUGUUCCAGUUAGUCCAGGUAAUAGCAGAUUGAUAUGGACUUUCCCAAGAAACUUUGGAGUUUGGAUUGACAGGAUUGUUCCACGAUGGAUAUUUCAUGUUGGACAAAACCUGAUUCUGGACUCAGAUUUAUAUUUGCUUCAUAUUGAGGUGACUCCCUACUCUUUGUAUUAAGUUCUAAACUAACUUGGAUCACACUUGUUCAUAUGCAUUUACCUUCUCAGCCAAAAUGAUUACGAUGAAGUUCAUAUACAUUAUGAUUAUUGGAUAAGCCUUACUCCCAAAUUCUGGUAUAGUAAAUGAUAAUUAUGAUCUAUAAAGUAGGGGAAAAUGUCCAGUAUAUCUUAUUCUAAUUACAUUGCAGAAAUAACUUGGGCACUAUUUAAAAUAAUAAAUUUCUUGGAUAACUUCAAAAUGGGAAUCAUAAUGAGUGAAGUUGUUUACAUAUUCAUGAUCGGCACCAAGUUGGAUACUUAUAAGGGAAUUUUCAGUUGUUGAUACUUGAUAGAUCAACAACAGUACAGAAUUGCCGGCAGCAUGCUUAUGAUGCAAGCAGCCACAUGAUCAUGAAAUAGAUUCUCAGGGGAAAAACUCAUUCCACCUAGUCUUGUCUAAUUUGCUCUCGGGUUCUUAUUGUACAGGAACGUAAGAUAAUGGAUGUCGGCCCUACCCAGUGGCAGAAAGCCUGUUUUGUGCCAACAAAGUCAGAUGCGCUUGUUGUUGGUUUCCGAAAGUGGUUAAACAAGUAUGCGGGUGGUCAGGUGGAUUGGAGAGGCAAGUUCACUGGGGCUCUUCCGCCCACUCCUCCUAAAGAACAGUUGUUGGACAGGUAACUUUCAUGCAGCAGUGGUAGCACCAAAGAUGAAUUCAACUCUAGUUUAGUCAACUGUUAAUCAAAACCAUUCAGCAGUUAAAUUUCAGAGACAACAAAGUAGAUCAUUACGAACACUAGUCUUAGCAAUGCUAAAAUUUGGUGGGAGCCUAUGUGUGUAGAAUACUUUUAACAUUUAAAUUACCUUAAGAUUUUAAGCACACGAUAAUACCAAUGCCAUUGCGUUACCUGUUAGUGUCGUGAUGCUUAGAACUAAGUUGGAGUGCAUUACUGGACUCAUUGAGGGGAUUUUUGCACAAACUUUUCAGGUACCGGUCUCAUGUGCUCAACUGCAGCAGUUGCAAUGCUGCCCACAAAGCUCUAGGCAUGCUUGAAGUCGUAUUGCAGGUCCUCUCCUUUGGUUUAUUAGGUAUUGUUGCUGCAAUCAAGCAAGGAGUACUAUCAUCAAUGGUUGCAAGAACUGCGCUAGUUGCAACAGCUCUACUAUGCUUUGCAGGAUCAAAAUGGUUGGCGCAUUUUAUCUACAAAAACUUUCACUUUCACGACUACAACCAUGCCCUUGUGUAAGAUUGAUGCUCCGGCUAACUAGUUACCAUAAGGAAACUUUCCAUACGAGGUGCAAUGUAAUUAGAAUAAGAUAUACUGGACGCAUGUAACCAAACUUGGUUGAAUACAAGUAUAUAUAUGGUUGUAAGAGAAUGAUCAUGUGAAUGAGGAAUCUACUCUCUGAAAUUCUUUACAAAGAUCAUGUUAUAUAUUCAUUCUAAUUCAAGACAGGUUACAUCGAUCCAUUCUUAUCGAGUAAUGCUAGACACUAGUGAGACAGAAUGUUUGAGUAUUACAAUAAUAAGCACACAUGAAUUAAGAUCUGAGAGCUAGAACUACUCAAAUUUGGAGGGGGAAUUCAGCAAUCUUCUCCCAUGAUUUGAGACUUGUAUCUUUGUAGUCAAUUUUGUAUAAUGCAAAUCGAGUUACAGAAAAGCUCAAGCUGCUGAUGCUUUCAUCCAGUAUACUGACUUUUUCCUCAGCUCUCUUCCUCUCUUCAUCUCUCAGCUUCCCAAAAAGGAGGCUCAAAUGUGGCCUAACUUCUGCGGAAGACAGACAUUAAUUUCAUGUGUUUAGAGCAUUUGGGAUUUUAGUAAAACAGAGUAGCUGUUGUUCAAUUUGGACUUGGAAAGUUUGUCGCUUUUGAUUUUAUUGUGAAUUAUUUGUGGAUGAGGGAGAGUAAAGAGGGUAUUUUAGGUAUACUACAAUACUGAGUUGGUGGAUUUAGGCUUAUAAGUGGAUUUAUAUGAGUAAAAAGUUUAGGGUGGACUUAUGUAGAAAAAAAAUUGUCUCAAAGCAGACUUAUAUGAAAUUUUCUAUAAAUUUUUCUACAUCAUCUCGAUCAUACGUAACAUAUAUGCACAUGCAUACGUGUAUGGUUUGAGGCACAAGAAGAAAAUUAAUUAGGGUGAAGGAUGGAGAAACAGAGAAAGACGGGGGGAAAGGGGAGAAAUUAUAAUGCAUGACAAAGACUAUAAUUAAAUGAUCCAAUAACUAUAUUGGAAACCAAGUAGGGAAGAAAAGAAUUCCAAAACAUAAGUUGGAAUUGAUUUUCGAGAAAAGGGAAAUGGGGAAGAAGAAGGAAUCAGAGGAGGAGCAGCAGCUGGAUACAGGGAAGACUGCAUCUAUGGUGCAGGUGGAGGAGCCGAGGAGGUAUGCACUGCCGACCCUGAUAAAGUUAACUUGAGGAAAUGACGGCAUGACCAAUUUGCAAAGCUAUUGUUUUAUCAAUAUUGUUUCAUGUGUUAGUGUAGCUUCGUUGAGGAAAUUAAUGAAGCCAGGACUAAUCUGCAAAGCUAUCGUUUUUUAAUGUUCCGGUGUAGUUUAGUUUCUGGAUGUGCAUAAUCUACCCAAAUUAGAAGGUCGAAUUAUUAUGGUAAUGACUCUAGCUAUCUGACAUCCAUGAGCCAAUUAUGGAUAUUGCUAUACUAGUCUACAACAUCCAUGAGCCAAUUAUGCCCUCUCCUCCACUGGUAAGAAAAGUUAUCCUCAUGCAUGGUAUCUCUGUAUAUUUCUAGUAUAAGGAAUACAUAAACUUCACCCACCUUUAUUUAAUGGUGUUUCUGUCAAGCAGAUUUGGGGUCAGUCUUUUUGGUACUUUUGGUUGUAAUGAUUUUCAUAAUUUCGAAGAAUUAUUCCAGUACCCAUAUACUGUAAGUGUUGCACCAACUUACAGCUCUAAAGUUCAGGUACUAUGCUGCACUAGUCCUAAUCAGAUUGCUUUGCUUCUGCUUUGUGUGCAUUUCAACGAUUCAUUGCUGUUUUGGCGUGAUGCUUCUGGAUUUUGGUUCCAUUUGAGAGAAUGGACUGUCACUUAAAAUUCAGAAAACACUGUAUCGCCACAUUUUGCACAGCUAAAUUCCAGUGCCUGGCUUCCUGCAUGUGUUACAAGGACUAAGACUUGCAUAUCAACUUUUCAGUUCUCCAAGAAAGGAACUCCAAAUUAUUCUAUUUGUGUAUGCUCUAGCUUAAUCGAUCACUUUAUGAAUUCACAGCUCUAUUCAUAUAUGCAUGCACUAAACACUAAACACUCUUAUUAAGUAAAUGAACAAUCCACACUGAGAACAAAAAAAAGAGCAAUCCACACUGAGAAACCAAAUGACUAAAUAUGUUGAGAGUAACCUACAAGAAUUUUACUUGGUUCAUCCUGCUGCGAGUGAUGUCUCAUUCUGUAAAACGUCGUUUUAGUCCACUGAGGCUUUGUUGAGAUGAAAAGUCCAGGUUCCACAUGUGAUCUACAGAGGAUGGUACUUCAGUUAUGGCUGUGCCAUUUAUAACAAGAGUUUCCAAAGAAAUCAUAUUUAGUUAUUUACUAUAUCCUUGCCUAAAUUCUCAAAUCUCGAACAGCCACAAAGAACAAGAGUCUUAACACAAAUCAACUUAUAAAAGUUCGACGGAAGGUCCUUGAGCAUUAUGCAGCCUUUGAGAUUUAGCAAGGCAAGUCGAUGAAGAAAUCCAAUGGACCUGUCAAUCUCUGACAAACUCACACGGUCUUUAAGGAUCAAAUACUUUAGACAUGGCAGUUGUGAGAAGUCUGGUUAGGGAAUGUGAAUGACUGAGAUUGAGUAUCUCCAACUUCCCAAGCCGCUGUAAGACAACACCAAAAGAAGAAAAAGAAAUUAUCAAAAAUCCGAAGAGAAGAAUAGGAGAGUGAGAUGUAAUGUUACACGAGGUAAUAUGUUUAAAAGUUUCCUGAUAUACCCUGGAAUCCUCCCAAACUCGUAUGAGAUUGCUGUAACAUACGCAGGUCGAUAAAUCAGGUAUGUUUUAUUAAGAAGCUCAUUUUGUAUGACCUGUGGAGAGAAUCCUUGCAAGCAUAGCCAUCUUAACUUUUUCAGAAACUGGUCACAGUCUCCAGUGAGCUUUACAUGGUUGAGUUGGAGCAGUUUCAGUCUCCUCAUGUUUCUGAAUGCUUCUGUACUGCAAUGCAAUUCUCUUAAUCGAUCACUUUAUAAGUUCACAACUUAAUUCACAUAUGCAUGCACUCAACACUGUUAUUAGUAGAUCAACAAUUAAUCCAUACUUGGAAACCAAAUGACUAAAUAUGUUGAGAGUAACCUUCAAGGUUCUUACUUGGUCCAUCCUGAUGUCUCAUGCAUGGAAAUGACGUUGUAGUCCACUCAGGCCAUGUCGAGAUGAAAAUUUCAGCCAUUUCAAGUUAUCUACUGUGGAUGGUACUUCACUUAUAGCUGUGCCACUUAUAAGAAGAGUUUCCAAACGAGUCAUAUUUCCUAUAUUCGUGCUCAAAUGCUUAAAUCUCGAACAGCCAGAGAGAACAAGAGUCCUAACACAACGCAACUUAUAGAAAUCCUCCGGAAGGUUCUUGAGCAUCGUGCAACCUUUCAGAUUUAGCAAUGCAAGUCCAGAAAGACUUCCAAUGGACUCGUCAAUUUUUGACAAUCUCACACAGUCUUUAAGGACCAGAUACUGUAGAAAUGGGACUUGUGAAAAGUUUGAUGAUUGUCUUAGGUAACGUGAAUGACUGAGAUUAAGUAUCACCAAUUUCACAAGGCGCUGUUAAUCACACCAGAAGAAGAAAAAGAAUAAAUAAAGAGGAACGUUAUGUUAUGUAUUAAACCAGAGGAAGAUGUUUGAGAGUUUCUUAAUAUACCCUGGUAUGCCAAAAAAGUUCGAGAUUGCUGUACCGCAGGUCGAUAGAAACCAGUUUUCUCUCAUUAAGAAACCCAAUAGGUAUGACCUGGGCAGAGUAUCCUCGCAAGCAGAGCCAGCUCAACUUUUUGGGGAAGUUGUCGUAGUCUCCCUUGAGAUGCAAAUAGUUGAGUUGGAGCAAUUUCAGCCUCUUCAUGUUUCUAAACGCUUUUGUACUGACAGUACACAUGUUGUCAGAUGACUCAGAUCUUUGCAAAUUUAGAGAGAGUCCUUCAGUCACUUCAGUUCCCUGUUAAUGGAAAGGUACUAAAUGAAUAAAACAAGAUCAAGAAUGCAUUUACUUUUUUACUGCCACGACGAAAUGACUGGAUUAUGAAAUAAAUGAAGCAAUAAGAAUGGGAAGGUUUUGCAGAACUGAGCACUGUCACUAUUAGUAUUAGAUAUGUUGUAUAUGCUUUUCUUGAUGGGGCUGGGAGUACUUACAGAUUCAUCUGUCAAUACAUCUAUUACAUCUUCCCGACGCCACAAUCUACUGCGUCUUUCAGGGCUGUUAGGGGAUUCUUCACGAACAACUUCUCUGCCCAUGUCUCGAAGCAGAUCAUGCAUCAUGAGCUUGUUUUUCUCACUGACAGUUACAAGGCAACGUUGCUGCAGGACACUGAUAUCUGUUUCUGGAUAAAAACCACAGCCUUUUAGUAUUUCCAUGACAUAAUUCUUGUCCAUUCCAAUGAAGUAACAAGAUAUAUGGAGGAAUAUGUUCUUCUGGCUCUCAUCAAUUGCAUCAAAGCUUAUUCUGAGCUUUGACUGAAUUCUGACAUCAGGAACGUUUUCCAAUUUCUUCAGUGUGCUUUCCCAUUCUCUUGCACUCUUUUUAAACAGAAAAGACCCUAAAACUUCAAGAGCCAGUGGUAAACCUCCACAGUACAUAACCACCCUUCUUGAGAGUUCAAUAUAGUCUUCAUCAGGAGAAUGCUUUCCAAAGGCAUGCUGACUGAAGAGCUCAAGACCUUCUUCUUCAUUCAUUUCUCGGGUUAGAUGUACUGUAUCCACUUUCAGAAGUUCUAGUAUAUGUUCAUCUCUUGUUGUUAUAAUAAUUCUACUUCCCAGACCAAAAGAUUCACGGCUUAUAGCCAAUGCAUGCAAUUGGUCCUCAUGAUCAACAUCGUCGACAAUGACGAGUACUUUUUUUUUUCCAAGUCGUUCUCUUAUCACGUUGAUCCCUUUGUCAACAUGACCUACCUCUAUCUUGGUUGGUGUUAGGACAUCAGAAAGCAGUCUUUCUUGCAGAUAAAUCUUACCACGUGAAUCCUUUGCAGUCUCCCUAACAUCCGCUAGGAAACUUUUACUGUCAAAGUGAUGAUAAAAUUUGUUAUAGAUGGCUUUGGCAAGUGUUGUUUUGCCGGAUCCACCCAUACCCCAAAUUCCAACCAUGCGAACAUCAUCACCUACUCCAACACACAAAGAAUUACUGAUAUCUUCAACACGAGAAUCUAUUCCAACUGGGUAGACAGCUAAGUUCAAGUAUGUGUUGGUUAGCCGUCUGCAUAUCUCGUCAACAAUGCUGUUAAUAAACUCUGCUUCAUGCCUGUCAGUUAGAUUCAGAACCGGGACUAAGAUGUAGAAAGAAAUCACCUCAUUGACCAAACUUAGGAUCGAUCAAAAAAGGAAAAGAGGUAACAGGUAGCAGUUAACAAAAAUGUAAAAAGAAGGUGAAUUAGUAUUACCUAUCAGCAAUAUCGAAGCCAGCCAAACUUGCAGCUUCUCUGAGAACAGCUCUCCACCUGGGUAUCUUAUCUCUACCUUCAGUUAAUAGUUUAGCUUCAUGUUUCUCAAAUGCCUUGCCAAAACUACCUACCUGCUUCCUGACAUGUGAAGGAACAACGUGAUAGAAUAUGGGGAAAACCAGUUGCUUUUGUGUUCUUCUACAGUCCAUGAUCUGCACCAGCUCCUCGAGACACCAAUGUGAAUCCGCGUAAUUCUCUGAGAAGACAAUGAGAGAGAUCCUACACUCUAGGAUUACACACAUUAAUGUUUCAGCUAUGUAUUCACCUCUCCUUAGUCCCUCCGCAUCCCUAAACGUCCAGACUCCCGCACGUUCUAGUGCCGCGUAGAGGUGGUCCGUGAAGGUCCUGCGUGUGUCUUCACCUCUGAAGCUCAAGAACACAUCGUACUUCCAGUGUCUCCAGGAAGGGGAAAUUGAUGGGGGCGGCGACGAGGACGACGACGGCUUCAUAUUGUAGUCAAGGACUUUGGAAUGCAGUGGUUCAGAUUUGGGAGAGCCUAUUCAGCGCACCCCGAAAAUUUAACGGGAGUGCUUGGCACGCGCUGUUUAUGCAAUUGUGGUUUGUAGUGGCCCUCUUUCCAGCUAAUCCAUUACAGACCUGAAGAGGAGAGACGAUGGCAUUGGUGUCGGGCCGCCGGCAGGAGACGACCUGAAGAGGAGUGGCGAUCGAUUGGACGGCGACGGAGAGAGAAGGAAUUGGUGUCGGAGAGACGGAGGUGGACGUGGUGGUCGGAGAAUGAGGCGGCGAAUUUACAGAGGUGGUUUUGGCGGUCGAUGUGGAGGAAGGGAAAGAGAGCUGGAUUUGGUUUUGGGUUUGGGAAGGGAUGGUUAGGCAAUAAAUUGGGAAGGCGGCAUUCAAUUCAGAGGAGAAGACUUCAAUUCGAAGGAGAAGACUUCAUCAAAAAGGAAAAAAAAUUGAAAGGAAAAGAAGGAGACAACGAGGCUAUUUCAUUAUUAUCCUUAUUAUUAUUAUUAUUAUUGUUAAAUCCAAACACUUGAAUUUGUGUUUGUUGAUCUCAAUUAGGCCAAACUAGGUUUGGUUUAGGUUUCGGGUUUGUGUUUCUGUUUAUGUAGGUGUUUGGGUUUAAAUUUGAGGUUUAGAGUACAAGUAUUGAAAAACAUUUCUCUAAAAAUUUUAUUUCUAUAAAUAUUAAAUAGCAUUUUAAUUCUAAAAUUUUUACCGUGUCUGAUGUAGUUAUGGUAAUUAAUAAGAUUUAUUGAAAAAAAGAAGUUAAUCUUGUUUCGGAUUCGUUAAGCCCCCCAUCGGCCCAUUGAACCGAUCAACAUGUCUUCAACAUCAUUUUUUAUACGCAACGCGGUUAACUGGUAAAAUGUAAGACCCUAUCUUUCCCCGUUUUUGAACCUAAAACUCAUAUAUAUGUGAUUUAGGAACUCAUGAAAAUAUUUUGUUAAAUUGACCCUCCGAUGGUUAGGCUCCUCAUAAGGAAGCAUAAGUGUUAAUAGGGUUAACCGCCUCGAUCGGGGUCUAAACAUUAUCGAAAAUAUGUGAUAUUUCAACCCUAGCCGUAUUUAUCUAUUCCGGUCAUAUCCUAUUUCACAUGAUUUUCGAAGAGUUUGUUUUCUUUGUAUAGUUUGUUCACAAUAAUGUGCAUUUGCAUGGCGAUCAGAGGUCGUAAACAUGUGAAAAUAAAAAUUUCACCGUCUGAUGUAGACAUGGUGAUUAAAUAGGUCUAUUAAAAAAAAUUCACUCAGUUUCGGAUUCGUUAGACCCCCCAUCAAACCGGUCAACCUAAGUUCAACUUCAUUGUAAAAACAAAACGUAGUUGAUUGGCAUCGUGCGAAACCCUAUUUUUUUCUAUUUUCGAACCUAAAACUCGUAUACAUGAGAUUUUAGAAACCCAUGAAAAAAAAAUGUUAAAUUGACCAUUCGGUGGUUAGGCUUCUCUUAGGAGCGCCUAAAUGUAUUUAGAGUUGACUGCUUUUAUCGGAAAGCAAACGUUACCGAUAGUUUGUGAUUUUUCAACCUUAUCCGUAUUUCCCUAUUCUGGUCACAUCCUACUUCAUAAGAUUUUCUGAAAUUUUGCUUCUUCUGUAUAGUUGGUUCACAAUGAUGUACACUUGAAUAUAACCUACUAGCGAUCCGAGGUCAUAAAUAUGUGAAAAUAAAAAUUUCACCGUUUGAUGUAGAAAUGGGGAUUAAAUAGGUCUAUUGAAAAAAAUUCACUAUGUUUUGGAUUCGUUAGACCGCCCAUCGAACCAGUCAACCUAAAUCUAACAUCAUAUUUUACACGAAACGCGGUUAAUUGACAUCGUACGAAACCUUUUUUUUUUCGUUUUCAAACCUAAAACUCUUAUACAUGAGAUUUAGGCACUCAUAAAAAAAAUUGUUAAAUUGACCCUCCGGUGGUUAGGCUCCUCUUAGGAGCGUCUAAGCUUAUUUAGAGUUGACUGUUUUUAUUGGAAAGCAAACAUUAGUGAAAGUUUGUGAUUUUCCAACCCUAUACGUAUUUCACUAUUCCGGUUACAUCUACUGUUUUCAUUGAAUCAACUUUUACUUUCGGUUGAUUCUAUCUUAAGAACCAAUUUGAUUUCCAGAAAGUCUACUUUUCUGUGAUUUUGCUCAUUUAAAUAAGACAUUUCUAAUAAAAACAGUAGAUGUGUCUUAUGUUAAAUGUAGACUUUGCAACUUUUACCUUCGGUUGAUUUAAUCUCAAAAACUAUUUUGUUUUUCAAAAAAGUCUACUUUUCUGUGAUUUUGCUUAUCUAAAUGGUAGACAUUUCUAAUAAAAAUAGUAUAUAUGUCUUAUGACUUAUAACAUUUUCUGUGAUAUUUUUCAUGACAGUAGUAGCUGUUUCUUAUGAUAAUUGUAGACUUUGCAACUUUUGCCUCAUAAGGGGGUUCAAUCUCAAGAAUCAUUUUGAUUUCUAGAAAGUAUACUUUUGUGUAAUUUAGCUCAUCUGAAUGGUAGAUAUUUCUAAUGAAAAUUGUAAAUAUAUUAACGGAAAGUUAAUAGCGUUAGUUUAUUGUACCCUGUUGUAGCAAGUCAAAACCGGUUGGGUAUGCAUACCUUAAGGCACACAAGUAGAACACCGAAAUCAAUCCGAAAAUAUUGAUUGGCCGAAUAUUCGAGUCAAAAGUUUUAAAUCUGAAUUCGGUUAGAAAAAAAUCUUAAACCAAAUAAUUCGGAUCGGUUUUGGUUUGGCCCUAAAACCGACCCGACCAAAAGGCCCAACUACUUUUUUCGUAAUUUUUGUUUUCCGAUCUCGUAUGAAAGAAAAGUAACUGAGAAAUUGACAUGGCAUCUCCCAGCAGUGGAGUGAAGUAGAAGACAAAACACCAGUAGUGUUGCAGAUCCACAACCACACUCUCGUAAAGCUCAGGUCUUGCAGAUCCAAAUCUUUCCCCAUUUUCCAUGCAACUGAAUCUCUGUCUCAAGAUCUGGUUUCUGGUUUCCCGAUGAAGAAAGAAUCAUCAUCAAGUCCCAGCAGUGAGCCCAUCGGGCAGAACAUGAUAAAGCUGAUCAGCAAUCUCUGCUUCUCACUCUUCGUCUUCUUUGUCCUCAUCAUCACCGUGAUCGCCAUCACCUACCAACCCCCAGAUCCAUGGCUCCAGUCCGCUCCCGCCCUCACAAAGCUCUUCACCGACUCCGAGAACGCUACUUUCAAGAAUGACAAUUCUGUCCUCAAGACCGGCGAGGAUUUCAUCGCCCCGGCUGCCCCUCCGGACAGCCGGAUCACCGAGGCGGUCAUCCAGGCCGCCGAGGCCAACCUCUCCAGCUCCCCACAGCUCGACUCGAGCUGUGGGGAUCUGGAGACAGUCAACUGCUCAGACCCAAGAGCUCUGAUUGCGGUUGAGAAGUUCAAUCUUAAGCUAUUCAAGACGAUCGUGUUCUUGGGGUAUCAGACGCCGGUUAAUGGGUCGAAGAGUGACGAGUGUGAUGUGCUGUGGAGGUUUCGGAACAAGAAGGAGAAGUCUUGGAGGAAGUACAGGGAUUUCAGGAGGUUUCAGUUCGGGUUUGGAGUGAAUUGCAGUUACAAGGUGGUGCACGCCGGAGGGUGGCAUUCCGGUGUGAAUGCGCGACGUGCGGCACAGAGGAGUAGGGCUGGAAAGGGUGCAAAUGUAAGCAGGAUUGCUCCAGCGGGGCGUGAUGAGGAGAUCAAUGAUACUAUACCGAGCUUGGGGGAGAGGAAUUUUAGGAGGGGGAAGUACUUGUACUACUCGAGAGGAGGGGAUUACUGCAAGGGAAUGAAUCAGUACAUGUGGAGUUUCUUGUGUGGUUUAGGGGAGGCAAUGUACUUGAACAGGACAUUUGUGGUGGAUUUGAGUGUGUGCUUGUCGCGGAGUUAUAAUCCGAGUGGUAAGGAUGAGGAGGGGAAGGAUUUUCGGUAUUAUUUUGAUUUCGAGCAUUUGAAGGAGGUUGCGCCGAUUGUGGAGGAGGGUGAGUUUUUGAGGGAUUGGAAGAAGUGGGAUAGGAGUCAUAAGAGGAAGCUGCCUGUUAAGAAGGUUGUGAGCCAUAAGACUACACCAAUGCAACUCAAGAAAGAUAGGAACACGGUUUUAUGGAGGCAGUUUGAUGCGCCGGAGCCAGAGAAUUACUGGUACAGGGUGUGCGAAGGGGAAGCUGCCAAGUACGUUCAGAGGCCGUGGCAUGCUUUGUGGAAGUCAAAGAGACUGAUGAACAUUGUUUCGGAGAUCAGCGGGCGAAUGGAUUGGGAUUUUGAUGCUCUUCAUGUGGUGCGAGGGGAGAAGGCUAAGAAUACACAGCUCUGGCCUCAUCUGGAUUAUGAUACAUCCCCUGACCAGCUACUUGAGAAGGUCAAGGGUAUGGUUCAGCCUUGGAGGAAUCUGUAUAUAGCCACCAAUGAACCGUUUUAUAAUUACUUUGACAAACUGAGGUCUCAGUACAAGGUUCAUUUGCUUGAUGAUUACAAGGAGUUGUGGAGUAACACAAGCGAGUGGUACAAUGAGACUACAACUCUGAACAAUGGACAUCCAGUUGAGUUUGAUGGGUACAUGAGGGUAGAGGUGGACACUGAGGUUCUUUACAGGGCAAAGACGCGAGUCGAAACAUUCUAUAAUUUGACAAAAGAUUGCAAGGAUGGAGUCUUCACAUGCUGACCAGGUUUUUUCCAUGGUUUGAUUCACUUUUGAAAUGAUGAUAUUCAGUUCAUGUCAGGCUUAUUGUUGUGUUUUCUUCUUGCUUCAUUAUAUUUAUGGUUGGCUAUUCCAGUUGGUCACAGUAAGCCUAUAUGCUGUACUAUAUAGAUUCAAUUCAUUUUGAGUCACUUACACAUCAAUGUUAUUUCUUACAACUUACAAGCUGUUUGUGCAAUGCUCACAUCUAUUUCACAUGUGCACAAGAUAAGCAGAGUAUGAUUUGAAAAUGAGGUUGAGGUCAUUCAUCACAUUUACGUAGAAACCACAGAAAGUUAGUUGCGUGAAUGACACUUUAAAAAAUUUGCACUCAAGAAAUGCCUAAGAUAGCUUUGUAAUGCUCUGCUUCUCUUUAACACAUGCUGUGUGACUUCUUUCAAGUCUUUGUGGCUAAUCUUGGCUCGAUUUAUCCUAUUAGAACUUCACCUUACGUUGUAGCAUCAGUGGGUGGAGUCUCUUAAGUGGAGCUCCUGGCUUAGAAUGGAGCCUUGGGCUACCAGCCUUAGUUUUGCACAUCCAUAUGACAAAAAGACACUCUACAUUCAAGUGAUGCCCAAACUGUUUUUGACCAGAUUCAGCAUCUCCUGAGUCCUGCCAUGGCACUAGCGAAUCCUCUGUGAAGAUUAGUGGUAAUGUAGAUGGUUUCUGGCAGAAUUGCUUGCUGUGUAAUCUUUUGUGUUAUAGUUUUUAACCCGGCACACAAAGUUGAAAACUUGGAAGUAUCAGAGUUAGGCAUCUCACUAGUCAUGAUCAUUUCUGUCUAAGGGUUCUUUUUCUUUCUUGUUGAAAGGUCAUAGUCUUAGGUGGACAAUUUGACAUCUCAAGCCGUCUCAUGUGGAAUGGGUUUGUAUGUCAAAUUUAAGUGUUUAAGCACAGUAUGAUUUCUUGGACAUGACUGUGUUCGACCCGUUACUCUGAGUUUGAAGAUUUCUUUUUGGGAAGAGAGAUUCAUGGGUAUGUGGUGAAACAUGGAAUGGGAGUGUGUUCUAGCGCUCUUGAGAAUAUGUCAGUAAGCAAUAAAGAUCAGUAGAAGAUAGUCUAUAAAAUGUCUCAUUCUUGCUAAGAAAUUAGCUUCUCGCUUUAUGUGAAGAAAGGAGAGCUUAAAAUUGAAAGUUUGAAAGGAGCAAUUCCACUUAAAAUUGAAAAUUCACUUACUCAGAUAGCUUUUCAUCAAUAUGAAAUAGACUACCUAACUACCCCUAAGUUGAAAAUAAUAGCUUGUCUAAUUUCUUGUCAAGGUUGGUACCUAACUUCCGCUUAUAGUAUAUUGUCUAAUUUAAUUUUGCAUGGUGCUGAUACAGAUGCAAUGCUGUUAUAAUGAGGAAACUGUACAGAUGCGCUGAAAAUGACUAGGCUUCAUUCUCUUGUCCGAUUUACUCCACCAUAAUAUACUAAUAUAACUAUAUAAGUCUAUUAAAAUCUCAGUAGCUCAUCAUGAUCAGGCCUGAAGAAAUUCAUCAAACACUCAACUUGUUAAUCAUAAAAAGAUUUGUAAGGAUUCUUGUUGGGUUUCUGCAGUUGAGGAUAUAAUAAUUCAAGGUAUAUUUCCUUAAUUUGAUUUCAUUUAAGAAAUAAACUACGUUUUUUUAUUUUUUAUGUCAAUGAUGAUUAUGGAGUUGUGCGACUCGUGUCAGGUAUUAACUGUUGAUUGAAAUACAAUGUAACAUUUUUCCUAUUAUAAACUUGCAGAGUUGCAGGGAUUGUUGGUAAUAUAUGAGAUUAGAAGUUUCAAGUUAAAAAAACAGAGCACAAAACCAGGUUCUUUUGUUCCUUGCUCGAGUAAUUGAAUACAUGCUGUGAUUAUUUGAGGUUCAAGUUUCUCUGACUGAGUUGCAAUCCAAGAUUAACACUUGAGUUCAAGUUGUUACCUUUAAUACUCCCAUUUCGGUUGUGGAGCUCUGAAAGUGGCAGCCAUGGAAACUCUGAGAAUUUUCUCUGUUCCAUCACUUCAUAUACCAGCUAAAUUUGAUAAAACCCAAUCCAAAAAAGGCACUCUUUUGGGGUUUAAGCAAACACCACGUUCAUCAUUCUCAUUAGUUCAAAGACACAAACCCACAUUUAAGACAUUCACCACCAUGUCAUCUUCUAUUACAACUGACACUGAAAACCCAUCAGCACCACAGGUUGAAACUCAGACCCAAGAUGAGAAGUUUGACUGGUAUGCCCAUUGGUAUCCAUUGAUGCCGGUUUGUGACCUUGACAAAAGGGUACCACAUGCAAAGAAAGUUCUGGGCAUUGAUGUGGUCAUGUGGUGGGACAAGAAUGAGAGUACAUGGAAGGUGUUUGAGGAUGCAUGUCCUCACAGAUUGGCUCCAUUGUCUGAAGGGAGGAUUGAUCAGUGGGGAAGGUUACAAUGUGUUUAUCAUGGCUGGUGUUUUAAUGGCUCUGGUGACUGCAAGUUCAUUCCUCAAGCACCUAAGGAUGGCCCUCCGGUAAUUCAAUCAAACCUAGAGAGAUUGCUCGUUAUGCUAAACCUCUAUACAGUAGAAGUUUUAAACUGCCUGCUUAUUUUAUUAGUAACACUAUUAUUUUUAAUGACCUGAAAUAAAACAGUAACUGUAAUGAACUUUAAAGCAAGACCGUAGCUAGAAGAUGUCAUAGAAUACCAUAGUUCUGUAUCAUCUUGGAUGAACUUGAGCAUAAAAGUAAUAGUAUAUUCUAUUGUUCUUCCUCUUGUCGAAGUUCCAUAGUUCUGAUCCUCACUUCAAAGAUAUUCUUGCAGAGAAAAAACCUCCCUAUAUACCAGAACUGGAUGAUCCAUCAUAUACUUGUAUCAUGGGAAAUAGAGAGAUCCCUUAUGGGUAGGUAAAGUUAUAUUAUUAAACCAAUUUGAUAAAAUGUCAUGUUCUACAAAGGGAAUUAACACUCGUAUAUGUAUAUAAGAAACCUCUUGGAUCUACCUGG
rnacentral:lncRNA from 1 species